CAGUUCAUGGCCACCUCUUCCUAAUUCUCUGCUUGAGUCGAAAUUGUUCGUUGCGUUCUCUAGUUCUUCCCUUGUGAAUAUUCUCACUGUAUCAACUUGCUUUGACCUGAUUUGGUCAUAUAAUAGCAGGCCACCAUUUUGUUGGAAGAAUAUCUGCUUUUCUUUCACCAGCUUUCUCUUCUGACAUUCAAUCAGGAGUGCAGAAAUGCAGAUAAGGAGAAGUACUGCACAUGCCGAAAUACCUGCCAAGAAUAAUAUUCUUUCAGUUUUGGUUCUUGAACACGCAGGUUUUUCUCUUUGGAUCUGCACUCUGAGUCGCAGAUUUGCAUGAACAAUCGUAGUCCCCAAUUAUAUUACUGCAAAUUCCAUGGCAAGGAUACUGAUCUGGGAAAUUGCACUCGUUUAUAUCUGCACACAUAAUUCAAGAACAGAGAAAUAGCUUGAGAUGGAUGCAGAGAUAACUUGAGGUGAACCCAAAAGAAGGAAGUGAGUUACCAACCUUGGCAUCCUUCUUCCAGGCAUACGUUGACAUGUUCUUCACGGCUUCAUUGCAGUAUUCAUUUCCAGCAACCCAGUCAAGCAGAGUGAUUGAGCCGGGAAGUGACCCAGGUUCCUUGAUGUGAUCAGGGCGACUUUGAAUCCAUGGCCAGGUCAAGUCAUUAAAGAGAAUCUUUCAAAAGGGACAAGGAGAUAUGCACAUCCUGCUCGAUGAAAGUGAAGGUGAACUCGUUCGUGUCAUGGCAUUGAAUGAGACUGGUAAAGGGGGUAAGCUUGCUCUGUGAAUACCUUGGACUAGUUCUGCUGUCUUGAUCGACUCCGCCGCGAGAACAGAUUUGCACCACAGGUGCUUCGUAUUGAUCUCAACCUCUCAGCGACAUCUCUCAUUAAUGGCCGUUCUUCCCCCCUCAUACUCAAGCAACACUUUGCCAGUUGAGCAAUUUCUUGGAGCAGCUCCGCUUCGAAGUCUAAUAUAUUCUUGUCCAAGAUGAAUUGAAGUCCAUUUUCUUUCAUUGCCAGAAGGAAGGAUGAUGCAAGGUUUCUCUCUUUGGAUCUAUACUGGUAGUCCCAGAGUUGCAUGAGCAACUGUAGUCCCCAAUUGCGUUGCUGCAGAUUCCAAGGCAAGGAUACUGAUCUGGAAAACUGCACUCAUUGAUGUCUGCAAAGGGAUAGAUAAAUAACUGAAGAUCAGUGUACAGAUAACUUAAGGCGAAGUUAAAAGAAGUGAGUUACAGUGAGUUAUCGACCUUGGCAUCCUCCUUCCAGGCGGAAGAUGACAUGUCGUUCCCUGCUUCAUCACAGUUUUCAUGUCCAGCAACCCAGUCAAGCACAGUAGGUACCCCGUUGUUGAACUUCUCUGUGAAUUUAUUAUCUUCGAGAUAGGAAGCCUCGAACCUGAACCAAUC